rnacentral:sRNA from 1 species
GGGCGGAAGAGGUGGCCCCGGAUGCUGCGGCGCCCGCUGGCCGGGCUGGCAGCGGCCGCCCUGGGCCGGGCCCCGCCGGACGGCUUGCUCUGCUCUUUACCUGGGGUUGCUGUCGAGGACCCUGUGCAAGACUCGGCCGGUUUUUCUUUCUCCCUGAUGGACAGACCCAAACAUAGCCGCGCAGCAUCGUGAAGGGCUGGGGCCUUCACGCGUCUGUGGCUGUGGAAGGGCCUGGUUUCCUCAGGAGGCAUGUCGGGCCCCAGGCCUGUGGUGCUGAGCGGGCCUUCGGGAGCUGGGAAGAGCACCCUGCUGAAGAGGCUGUUCCAGGAGCACAGCGGCAUCUUUGGCUUCAGCGUGUCCCGUGAGUCCAGGGCUCUUGUGGAGGGGUGUGUAGACCUCAAGGCUUCUGAGUAGUCCUAGCACCGUGAGCAGGCCAGGAGCCCGAACCCAACAGGCACACCCACCCUGCAGACUGUCCGAACUCUUGCACACUCCCCCCAACACAGAACCGGAGGUUAUUGCACUCCUGCUGUCCUGCGUGCCUGUGUCUCCCUUCCCUGGGUCUGUUGAGUACUGAUAACUGGGCUGCAGCGUCUCUUUCUGGGAGAACCCUCACCUUGUAGGCUCCUGCGCCUUUCCAGCGGUGUGCUCCACUGGCUGCCUGCAUCCUGGGGCUCAAGUGCUGUCGGGACUGCAAGGGAAAUGCUGGGUAGGGCAGUGGGCUUCGAGCAGCCCCCAAUGGGUGACAGGUCUCUCUGCUAGAUACCACAAGGAACCCGAGGCCCGGCGAGGAGAACGGCAAAGAUUACUACUUUGUAACCAGGGAGGUGAUGCAGCGUGACAUAGCAGCCGGCGACUUCAUCGAGCAUGC